CAGGGGGAGACUACGGAAUGCCCGGGAGGUCUGGGAAGAGGGUCGCAGACAGCAGGCCCCAGGGGUGGGGCACUGGAGGGCGUGGUGUUGACUCCUGCAGCCCCCACGUGGAGGGACCCCUCCCCUCCCUCCACCCUGUCAUCUGUCCUCAAGGUCUCAGGACAGGGGGCAUCCCCUUUAUGGCUGCCCCCAGGCCGGGAGGCUGGGGGUCUGCAGGCUGUGCCCCUUGGGCCCAAGCACAGGGAAACAGUGGCCCAUGACAUGCCCCCCAUUGCCUUCCCCUUCCGUCUGGGGUCCUGGGACGUGGCUCUCAGCCUCAGAGGUGCACAGACACACGGCCUGCCCCAGCCCACAGGCCCGCGUCCAGCAAGACACCCUCACAGACGCCCAGCCUGGAAGCUUCUGCUGCAACAGGCACAUGGCUGGGUCUUGUUCUGCCUGAGGACAGCUCACCAUAGCCACUGCACCCAGUGAGGCUUCUGGAAGGUUCCCAGACCACAUGAGGCCCGAGCAUCUGGGUGGCAGGGCCUGGUCAGGGCCAUGGAAGAGUGAGAGCAGCUGCUCUGGAGACAGCAGGCGGCUCUGGUCACCCAGACGGAUGUGAAUUCCAGAAACCCAGCUGGCUUCAAGAGGCUCAGCAGGCACCACUGGCCUUAGAACAAGCCAAUUAUCAAAAACAGAGCCUUACAAAGUCGUUUGGGGGUGAGAGCCACCAAAUAUACUCCCCCCCCCCAUCACCUAGUAGCCCCUAAUCUACUCUGUCUCUGUGAAUUUGCUCUUUCUGAUCAUCUUACGUGUCACAUCAUACGAUAUUUGUCCCACGUGACUUGCUUACUUCACUGGGCGUGUUGUCCAGGUCUGCCAGGCUGCAGCGGGUCUCAGAGCUGCUUGCUUUCCUAUGGCUGGACGUCAUCCCUCCGCACGGACAGGCCACACUGUGUGUCCACUCGUUGGGCCCAGUGGCCGCCUGGGCUGAUCCCGCCUCCGGGCAGUUGUGAAUAAUGCCGUGCACAUUGGUGAGCAAGUAUCUGUUUGCAAUGCUGUUUUCACUCUCUCAGGGUGUAUACCCAGAAGUGGCACUGCCGGGUCAUAUGGUAAUUCUAUAUUUAACUUUUUGAGGAACCUCCAAACUGUUUUCCACAGCAGCUGCACAAUUUUCCAUUCCCAUCUGCAGUGUCUGAGGGCUCCUGUUUCUCCACUUGGUCACCAAUGCUUGUUAUUUGCCAUUUUUGUAAUAAGCUGGCCUUGUGGGUGUGAGGUAGCAUCUCAUAGUGGUUUUAAUUGCAUCUCGUUAAUGGCUGAUGAUGUUUAGCGUCUCUUCAUGUAUUUAUUGGCCAUUUGUGUAUCUUCUUUGGAAAAAUGUCUAUUCAGGUCUUU